AGCAGCCGCGGUAAUUCCAGCUCCAAUAGCGUAUAUUAAAGUUGUUGCAGUUAAAAAGCUCGUAGUUGAAUUUCGGGAUCAGUACGCUGGUCGUGCCUUUGGUAUGUACUGGUGUCACUGAUUCCUCCCUUCUGAAGAACCGUUAUGCCAUUUAUUUGGUGUGGCGGGAAAUCAGGACUGUUACUUUGAAAAAAUUAGAGUGUUUAAAGCAGGCUCGCGCUUGAAUACAUUAGCAUGGAAUAAUGAAAUAGGACGUUUGAUUCUAUUUUGUUGGUUUCUAGGAUCGACGUAAUGAUUAAUAGGGAUAGUUGGGGGCAUUAGUAUUCAAUUGUCAGAGGUGAAAUUCUUGGAUUUAUUGAAGACUAACUACUGCGAAAGCAUUUGCCAAGGAUGUUUUCAUUAAUCAAGAACGAAAGUUAGGGGAUCGAAGACGAUCAGAUACCAUCGUAG
rnacentral:rRNA from 1 species